UAAUUUUUAUAUCUAAAAAUAAAAUAAAACAAAAUAUUAAAAUACGGUCUAAUAAUGAACCGGCACAAUUUAUUUAUUAAUGUUCACGCAAUAAAUAUUAUCAAAUAUGUCACUCAUUUAUGACACAAACCACUUUGGAUAUACCCAAACGUAGGAGGGAAGAAAAUGAUCUUGAUACACUCAUUUAUAUACCCAAAGACCAUAUAAAAUCACUACCUAAUUUAGAUAUAUCAAGUAUUACAUUUAAUAAAAAUGAUGAUAGUCAACAAAAUGAACAUACCAAAUCACUAAUUAAUAUAGAAAAUCAAAAUUUUAAUGAUGAACUUGAUAUCAUAAGCAACAAUUUACCACCCACAUCAGAAAAUCAAAAUUUUAAUGAUGAAUUUGAUACCAUAAGCAACAAUUUACCACCCACAUCAGAAAAUCAGAAUUUUAAUGAUGAACUUGAUACCACAAGCAACAAUUUACCACUCACCUCAGAAAUACCUAGAUACUCUAUAAAAAAUUAUGAUAAAAAUAAGCUAAAUACACUUGAUCACUUCAAAUCUCUACCUAGUAAAAGUAUAUCAAGUAUCACAUUGAAGAAGAAUGAUAGUAGUCAACAAAAUAUUAUAGGCUGUAUCAAUUUAGAAUUUAAAGGAAUAUCUCAAUUAAUAUUCACACCAAGGGGUAAAAAAAAUAGUGAUAACAAACAAAAAAAUACACUAAGUCACAACAAAUCACUAUCUAAUAAAUAUAUAUAAAAAAUCUAGGGAGAAUUUAAAUGGAAAUGAAGUUCCACUCAUGUCAGCAAUUCCCACAUACUCCAGAAAACUAAAGGAUAAUAGACAACCAAUUAUACUAGAUCAUUUAGAACCAUCACCUACUACAAGCAAUGGCGAUCUAUUUUUGAGUAGAUUAGAAGACAUCUUCAAGGACACUCAGAUCUCGGACAUCGAAAAAGCAGGUUCCUUUACAAGAAGACUACCAGAUGAGGUAUAUAUCAAGCUCAAAUCGAUAUGUUCACCUACCGACUUCAUCAAUCCAUCGAUAUUGAUUGAAAAAUUUAGGUUAUUACACUCGAGGAAAUCUACAAGUUCCAACUUAUUAGUAUUUAACGCAGCUGUACAAGAAGAUGAUACAACCGUAAAACAUGUAGAAAGGUAAAGAGGCAGGAAAACAGAAGAAAAUAAACAAUUGGUGAGAUAUGGAGACCAUGACGAACGAUAAAAUUCACAAUCUAAUUACGAUAACAGACAACGAUGGACAACAAGAGGCCAUGACUUUCAAAUAAAUAAUUAUAACCCCAGAAAUCAAGGAAAUAGUUACAACCCUAGAUAUCAGAAUUAUAACGCGAAUUAUUACAACAACGUCAGAGUAAACUAUCCAGGAUCGUACAAUAAUUCUUCGAGAUUUGAUAAUAGCACUAGUUAUAAUAACAAUAACUAUAAUAAUUAUAGGUUUGAUAAUGUUUAUAAUUACAGAUAUAACAGACGUUAUAACGAUUCAAGAUUUAUUCAAAGACAUAACGAUAAUCAUAAUAUUGGAAAUCAAGGAAGAAGUCAAGUAUGCAAUUGUAAAUAUCAUAACAACGAUAAUAAUCAAUCACGAUAUACAAAUAAAGUAAACACUGUAAAUAUAGAAGAGAUAAAAGAUGAUGAUAAUGACAAACUUGAAAGAAAAGAAUAUAAUUUAUACAAUUUAGACAUAAACAAUAUGGAUACCGAUAAUAAUUACACAACUAACGAUGCAUAUAAGGUUACGGUAUAUUUGAACGACAUGCCUAUUUUGAUGCAGAUUGAUACCGGCUCAAGGUAUAGUAUCCUACCGAUUCAUAUCGCGAAAAAGAUUGGAGUAAAAAUCUUAAAUAAAUCAGAUAUUAAAUUAACUGGUUAUGAUGGAAACACGAUAAAUGUAUUAGAAACUACCAAAGUCAAGGCAAAAUUCGAGGACAAAAUUCAAAUCUUAACUGCUUAUGUAGUCCAGAGUGAUAAGAUUGCACUGUUAGGAAGGACCUGGAUAACAGUUUUUGGGAAUAUACUAGAUAAAUUUGUGAAUAUGGUCGAGGAUGAUUAUGAUAAUACUAUACUAGAAUUAAUUAAGCAAUGCUAUUUUAAACUACAAAAAACCAAUGCUUCGCAGCUAUGUCAAAUUACGUUUAAAACACGAUGCCACACCGAAAAUCAUACCGCCAAGGCAUAUACCAUAUUCUAGAAUUGAUUUGAUAACUAAAGAACUUCAAAAGUGGAUAAACGAUAAAAUUAUUGAACCUGUUGAAGAUGUUAGAUGGGCUAGUCCUCUCACUCCCGUUUAUAAGAGCGAUGGCUCACUUCGGCUCUGUGCCGACUUCAAAAAUACUACCAACCCUGCUUUACAAGAUUUCAAGUACCCUAUACCACGCAUUAAUGACUUAAUCGCAAAAUUAUCUAUAGGUAAGAAAUUUACCAAGAUAGAUUUUAAAAACCCGUUUCUCCAAAUACAUAUACACAAAGAAUCAAGAGAUUUUCUUACAAUAUCGACACAUAAGGGCUAUUAUAUGUUUACGAGACUGCCGUUUGGUUUAAAAACUUCGUCGGCAAUAUUCCAACAAUGGAUAACAUUUUCGGAGAUUUAAAGAUGUUAUAUUCUACAUUGACGACUUGUUAAUUACAGGUGAUAACCAUGAGAUACAUUUGGAGAACAUUAAAAAAGUAUUCGAAAAGAUCAUCAAGUAUGGAUUAAACCCCAAUUUCGACAAAAGUUUAUUCCUGCAAGAUAAAAUUGGGACAUGAUAUAGACAAACAUGAUAUACAUCCCAACAAUGAUAAGAUAAAAGCUAUUUCUAACAUGCCGGAACCGAAGACAAAAGAUGAAUUGACAACUUUUUUAGGGACGGCGAGCAAUUAUCGAAAAUUUUAAUGUAAUUUUGCUCACAUAGCUGAUCCCUUAUACAAAAUGGUUAAUAAAGACAAAUGGUUAUGCGAUAGUACACAUCAAGAAAGCUUCGACGACCUAAAAAAACUGAUAAGUACUCCGCCUACGUUAAAUUUUUAUAAUCCGGAUAUACCAAUAGGCAUUGCAACUGAUGCUUCAAAGAAAGGUCUAGGCGCAGUCUUAUUUCAUAUUGAAGGUGAUGGCAAAGAGAACCCAUUGCUUUCGCGUCAAGAGCUUUAUUAAAAUCAGAGUUUAAUUAAACUAAUAUAGAGUGGGAAGCUUUAUCUGUCAUAUACGCGGUAAAAAAGUUUCAAGAAUAUUUAAUAGGUACGAGAUUUACAAUAAUCACAGAUCACAAGCCACUCGUUUAUAUAUUUACGAAGGGACUCAAGGAUAAUUCAUCCAUAUCAAUGCGACUUCAAAAAUGGAGUUUGGCUAUGGGAGCUUAUGACUUUACGAUAAUUCAUAGACCCGGGAAACGAAAUGUAGUACCGGAUUGUUUGUCAAGAUUACCCAAAUGAACACAGAAGAAAUAGUACAAGAGAUAGAUGAUGAAAAAAUUGAUGACAAAUUUUGGGACUUACCAGUAAAUUUUAAAAGAAUAGUUCAAGAAACUAGUAUUGAUAUCGAAUUAAUGGAAGUAAUUAACAAUAUAAAGAAUCAUGAACAGAUAAAGAAUAAAAUAUAUAAAAAUAUGGAAAUGGAACUGAGCUUAAUUAAAGAUUGUCUUUUUAAAGAGAAAGGAUCAUUAUACCGAAAAAUAUGAGAAAGGAGAUAUUACAGGAAUUACGCAAAGGGCAUCUUGGUGCAGGGAAAACGAAAUUGUUGGCGAGAGAUUAUUUGUGGUGGCCUGGUCUAAACGCUGAAGUAGAUCAGGAGGUAAAAAGCUGUGAUACGUUUAAUAAAUAUGGGGACAAUCCUCAUAAUGUACAAAAUCCAUGGGAAACAGCUGCAAACGCGACAACCAACAAGAUAACAAGCGAAGUGAUGUUCAACAGAACCAUAAGAACCAGAUAAUAUUUAAUCAAACCGCAAGAAGAUAAAGUGAAUGAAUUUAAUCGCAUUUUAUCGUCAAAUAGAAAUAUCAUGAAUGGUGACAAAGUUUGGUAUAAAACCUUCAAGGAUAAUAUAUGGGACAAAGGCAAGGUAAAACGUAAAAAUGGGAAUUUAAUAUUUGAAGUGGAUACAGGAGACAAAAUUAUUAGAAGACAAUUAGACCAAAUUAAAAAAAAGGUCUAGGAGUAGCACACCUCUUGAUGAAACGACACAUUUGAAAACAAAUACUGAAAAUGCAAUACCUUUUACUGUAAGUUUUAGAAGAAAUGAUGAUCAAAAUUUAGGAAUACAAGAACAGAGUCUUGAUAGUCAAAGACCAAGCAGGAAUAUAAUUUUGCCCAAAGAAUUUGAUAAUUUUAUAAUAAAAUAAAGACUAAAUAUAUAUAUAUAUAUUAAAAUAUUUUUCUUUUAAAUAAACUUUCAAUAGCAAAAGUUAAUGAAAUAUACUAAUGAUGGCAAUAAAACUAUCAAGAAACGUUGACUGCACGAUAAGAUUCACAUGCAAGAAAAACCUGAGUAGAGAUCAUUUUUUAA